UGCAGUCUAAUAGCUCUCUCUUGAGGCUUGA
rnacentral:piRNA from 1 species